ACCCAGCCCCGACUCAGCUGGUAGAGCAGGAGACUCUUAAUCUCAGGGUCGAGGGUUCAAGCACCACGUUGGGCA